CUUCAGAACUACCUGAUUUCGCAAAAUCAAUCCAGCACCGACUAAUCAGAAUCUGAAUCUGACAUCGGCAUCUGGUAAGCAUCUUUUGGUUCCAUAUCUGUUAUGGAAGGAGGCAUAUCCCCAUUGGAUGCAUUCCUUCUCCUCUCUCUACGUUUUUGCAUAAUUUCAUCCUUCACAUUUGAUUGACUUGGUUGACUUAAUUGACUCUGACGAGUUUGUUGAUUUCUCAUCAGCCACAUAGUACCAAAAGACAUUAAUGCUGCCAAAAGUAAUAUUGGGCCAAUCCUUGGAUCUCCCAUGUGAUCAUAAGUUUUGCCCAUUACUUUAAGGAGAAUGUGCUUGAUUCCCACACUUCUGGAUAGAAUGCUUUGGACACCUUUUGACCAGAUAGGAUCUGUGUCUUCAGGAACAAGGUCAGGAGUUUUUGUUUUAAAGAAGGGGAGGUCCCUGGUUUCGCCAUCCUUAAUUGUUCCCGAGAUCCAUUGAAUGAUCUGUGGAAUUUUAUCCGAACCAUUGUACCUUGCCACAAGCUGUGAUGCAGGAUCUGCUUCCUCGUAUUCAAAUACAUUUUUCCUAAUCCUGACAUUAUCUUGAGUAGCAUUCCUUUUGUAACGUACAAUAAAUAACCUAGGUACAUCAGUCAGAUCCCUCCUUGGUCCACAGGUAUCAUAGCUGGUUUCUGAAUGAAGGUAGAAGAAACAAUAUUUUUGUUGAGCUUCUCCAUCAAGCCAAGCAAAUGUCAGUCGCCUGUUUUUCAGUGCAGUUGACAACAGUAAAGAUUGAUCUUUAUCAACAUCACUCAACUCUCCAUCAUUUGAUAAUAGUUCUUGUACCCUGCGCAUGGUUUCACGCAUCUUGUUGAGUUCUGAGCCCAGUCUUCCUGCUAGAAUAACACAAUACCAUGAUAUGGUAUUGACUCCAUUACGAGAAUAGCCUCGGGCAUCACAACCAAGCUCCAUUGAAUUAACACUCCUUAACUGUGGAAGUUCUUGCUGUUUAUUUUUUUCCAUGACAUCUGCAAACCAUGAAGUGUUGAAUGAUCCAUGGAAAAUGACAGGUUUAACACCUGGAUCUUUCAGGAAUACAAUAGCAGGGGCAGAUUCCACCUCAAACGUAUUCCACCACAAGGAGAAAUCCUCCUCUCGCCAUAGCACAAAUGCAAAACAGGCAUAAGCCCA
rnacentral:misc_RNA from 1 species